CUUUUUUUCAUUCUAGUUAUUAUCAUGGGAAGGAAUGAAGAAGAUUAGAGAUCCAAUCAAAUAUUGGUGAUGAAUCCCUCUCCCCCUCUUUUCUCUUUUUUCCCUUUUUAGAAUAAGGGAGGAAAGAGAAAGAAUAAAAACGCAAAAAGCGUGACUCUUUCCCUAAUCCAAGCAUAUAUCAACCGCAACAGUGCAACAUACAGAGGGAAGCCCAGAUCGAAGAUGCCUGGUCUAUAGAUAGCUCGAAUGCUUUGCUGUCCUAGAGUUGUAUUUGCUCCAGAAUUUCAAUAAUAGAAGGUCAGUUCUUCCAUUUCUUCACUGAAAAUUUAUUCAUGUCCAGUUAUUAGCUGGUAGAAAAAUAUACAUUGUUGAUUUAUAGCAUUCCAGUUUUCCUUUUUGUUGAGUUGUCCCACAUUGAAGGGAUUUGAGGUCUUUAGUCUCCUUAUAUGGCUUAGGCAAUCCUUACUUCAUAAGCUAGCUUUUGGGGUUGAGUUAGGCCCAAGGUCCAUUAUUAUCAUGGUAUCAAAGCCUGGCCCAUCUCAAUUAUUGUUACCGAUGUCGGGCUCCCAUUUAUGUUGUCCACGCUCCAGUGAUCUGGGCGUGAUGGGGGUGUUGAGUUGUCCCACAUCGGAGGGAUUUGAGGUCUUUAGUCUUCUUAUAUGGCUUGGGCAAUCCUCACUUCAUAAGCUAGCUUUUGGGAUUGAGUUAGGCCCAAGGUCCAUUCUUAUCACUUUUAUUGAUUUUUGUCGCGAUUGAUCUGAUUUGCUGCCUUCUCUCAACGUUAAAUAAUCUUAAUUCAUGUGAGUUUCAAGCUAUUUGAGUUCUAAAAUGGUUCGUCAUGCCUUGUUGCGGCAGAUUUAAGCUUAGACUUUGACUACACUUGAUGGGAAGAAAAAGUAUCCCUCUG
rnacentral:lncRNA from 1 species